AACGAACGCUGGCGGCGCGCCUAAUACAUGCAAGUCGAGCGAGAAGGUGUAGCAAUACACUUGUAAAGCGGCGAACGGGUGAGGAAUACAUGGGUAAUCUACCAUCGAGUGGGGAAUAACCAACCGAAAGGUUGGCUAAUACCGCGUACGCCUCCGAGUCUUCGGGUUCGGAGGGAAAGCUGCACUGUGAGUGUAGCGCUCUUUGAUGAGCUCAUGUCCUAUCAGCUUGUUGGUAGGGUAACGGCCUACCAAGGCUUUGACGGGUAGCUGGUCUGAGAGGACGAUCAGCCACACUGGCACUGCGACACGGGCCAGACUCCUACGGGAGGCAGCAGUAAGGAAUAUUGCGCAAUGGGCGAAAGCCUGACGCAGCGACGCCGCGUGGGGAUGAAGGUCUUCGGAUUGUAAACCCCUUUCGGAGGGAAGAUGGAACGAGCAAUCGUUCGGACGGUACCUCCAGAAGCAGCCACGGCCAACUUCGUGCCAGCAGCCG
rnacentral:rRNA from 1 species